AACUGGAAACUGAAGCAGAGGUGGUUUUCACUUCCUUACACUCUUGCCAGCAUUAGCCACACCCUGGUGUCUCUCAGCCAGUUUAAGCUGGUGUUAAAGUAGACAAGCAGACUGGUUAAGACCACCAAGACUAAAUGAAGUUGUUUGUCACAGACAUCUUAGGAGGAAGAGAAUACAGAUACCAGACAUUUUCUUUACUAAAAUGGACAGUUUUUUUUUCUUUCUUUUUUUCCUUUUAAAAGAUUUUUUAUAUAGAAGAAAUCUGAAAAUUUGGAGGCAGCACCGGCUUUUUUUAAAUGAAGAAUGGUGUAUAUGAACUGAGUCUGUCUGCAUGAUGCAGCUCUGAUUUCUAGGAAUAGAAACCCUAACUAAGACACAUCCCUAAGCAGAAACUACUGCGGUAAGUAGUUCAACUCUGCCUGUCCUUGAACUUCAGUGAGAUCCACUCACACAGUGUGUUCUCUGUGCUGGUGGCACUGUAGUUCCUUUCCUCUUACUUCACUGACACUUACUCUGUGUGGCUGAGUUAGCACUUCACUUCUUUUUUCUCCACCAAAAUUGUUGAGUUAUAAGGUAGAUAUACAUUUAAUUGGAUAUUAGCAAUCAAGUUCUUCUUUCAAAUUAGCCGGAACAAAUUGUGUUCCUACCAGCACAUUGCAAAAGCUCCCAUCUUUGCAUACACCAAUGUUUGGGUUCUGGGGUUUUAACAUCAGCUACGCUGGUUGGCAUGUGCUAUUAUUAAUCCAUGCAGUUUAAUUUUGAAUGUGUGUAACUGGUUAAGGUUUUGGAACUGCUGCAGAUUCUGAUCUACUGCAUCCACCCAUGUGACUUUCAAAAGCCUCACGGGGUUACCAUCCUCCAAUUAGUCCUAUCUUUUACUCAUCUCCAACCCAGAACCAGCAAAUUGUCACCUAAACAAAGAACAAGCUAUAUGCGCAUGUACUAAAAGCAAAAACCCGCCAAAAGUCACCAGCCCAUUUCUGGGGCACUGGUCCAUCCCCCAGGGCACUAGCCCAACCCCUGGGGCGUUUAGCCUAUCCCUAGGGUGCAUGAGAUUCGUGGGUGUAGCUACCAGUCCUAGUUUAGACAUGUCACCAAAAAGUAUUUAAGCCACACACUUUCUGAGCCUUCUUUGUCUACCUCAAUAUGUUAUGAAGUAAAGUUAACCACGAAAGAAUCUGGCGUGUCCUGUGUCUGUUUCUGCUGGCGGGAACAGGCUCAGGAUACUUGGUGCUCGAAACCCGGGGAAAAAACGCCUUAACAACGUGCAGCACCAGGGAGGAGACCCUCAGACCAACCGGAGCAGGUUCAGAACCAUGGUGGAUUCAGCUCCGAGAGAAUACUGAUACUGUAAGUGACUUUGAUCCUUCUUAAUCCCUCCCCUUAACAGGAAGGCACUGAAAGCCUUUUGUUCUCGUGCUGGCUGUGUUAACCCUAUUUCUCCUGGUUUGAUCCUGCACUCACCAGAAGUGGUGCUGAAAUUUUUGACUGCUGUUAAGCACAGUCAGAGGG
rnacentral:lncRNA from 1 species